rnacentral:ncRNA from 2 species
AUUUAGUCGACAAACUGCGUUAGGGAUUGGAGCAUUGUUGGAGCUCUUUUUGUGUGGUUGCACCUAUGCAACACAAAAAAGCGACUGCGGAAAGCCCGACCCUUG